AACGAACGCUGGCGGCAGGCCUAACACAUGCAAGUCGAACGCCCCGCAAGGGGAGUGGCAGACGGGUGAGUAACGCGUGGGAACCUACCCAGUGGUACGGAACAACCCAGGGAAACUUGGGCUAAUACCGUAUACGCCCCUAGGGGGAAAGAUUUAUCGCCAUUGGACGGGCCCGCGUUGGAUUAGCUAGUUGGUGGGGUAACGGCCUACCAAGGCAACGAUCCACAGCUGGUCUGAGAGGAUGAUCAGCCACACUGGGACUGAGACACGGCCCAGACUCCUACGGGAGGCAGCAGUGGGGAAUCUUGGGCAAUGGGCGCAAGCCUGAUCCAGUCAUGCCGCGUGAGUGAAGAAGGCCCUAGGGUUGUAAAGCUCUUUCGGCGGGGACGAUAAUGACGGUACCCGCAGAAGAAGCCCCGGCUAACUCCGUGCCAGCCGCCGCCGUAAUAC
rnacentral:rRNA from 1 species